rnacentral:SRP_RNA from 1 species
GCCGAGCUUAGUUGCGUGAGCUUGUAACCUGAGUGGGGGCAUUAAGGUGAUGUGGACGCUGUUGUAGCGUUGCGUACCUGGUCUGGGUGUGCUACUGCUGGCCCGCCUGUUCCAAGUUGUGUAGUGGACCGCCCGGGGCCUACGCGAAAGCUGGGCCUCACGAUCCAUAAUGUGAUAGGCACAGCGUGAGGCUGGUUUCACAGAGCAGCGGCAACUCCUUGGCCGCUUGGGCCUUGAGCCUACUCCAAUGAACCAUCAUUUUUUUCUUUGUGCUGCAUAUAAAAGUUUUUUUCUUA